GUGAACGCUGGCGGUAGGCCUAACACAUGCAAGUCGAACGGCAGCACAGUAAGAGCUUGCUCUUACGGGUGGCGAGUGGCGGACGGGUGAGGAAUACAUCGGAAUCUACUUUUUCGUGGGGGAUAACGUAGGGAAACUUACGCUAAUACCGCAUACGACCUACGGGUGAAAGCAGGGGAUCUUCGGACCUUGCGCGAUUGAAUGAGCCGAUGUCGGAUUAGCUAGUUGGCGGGGUAAAGGCCCACCAAGGCGACGAUCCGUAGCUGGUCUGAGAGGAUGAUCAGCCACACUGGAACUGAGACACGGUCCAGACUCCUACGGGAGGCAGCAGUGGGGAAUAUUGGACAAUGGGCGCAAGCCUGAUCCAGCCAUACCGCGUGGGUGAAGAAGGCCUUCAGGUUGUAAAGCCCUUUUGUUGGGAAAGAAAAGCAGCAGGUUAAUACCCCGCUGUUCUGACGGUACCCAAAGAAUAAGCACCGGCUAACUUCGUG
rnacentral:rRNA from 1 species